GCAGUCGAGCGAGGCGGGUAGCAAUACCCAGUCGAGCGGCGAACGGGUGAGUAACGCGUGGAUGACCUGCCUUGAGGUGGGGGAUAACUCGGGGAAACUCAAGCUAAUACCGCAUAGGACCGCGAGGUCAAAGGGGGCGCAAGCUCCCGCCAUGAGAGGGGUCCGCGUCCGAUUAGCUAGUUGGUGGGGUAAUGGCCUACCAAGGCGACGAUCGGUAGCCGGCCUGUGAGGGUGAUCGGCCACACUGGAACUGAGACACGGUCCAGACUCCUACGGGAGGCAGCAGUGGGGAAUUUUGCGCAAUGGGCUAACGCCUGACGCAGCAACGCCGCGUGGAGGAUGAAGGUCUUUGGAUUGUAAACUCCUGUCAGCAGGGAAAAAGGGAGGUGACCUAAUACGUCAUCAACUUGAUUGUACCUGCAGAGGGAGCCCCGGCUAACUCUGUGCCAGCAGCCGCGGUAAUACAGAGGGGGCAAGCGUUAUUCGGAAUUAUUGGGCGUAAAGGGCGCGUAGGCGGCUAUUCAAGUGGCGGGUGAAAUCCCUCGGCUUAACCGAGGAACUGCCUGCCAGACUGGAUGGCUUGAGACCGGGAGAGGUGAGUGGAAUUCCCAGUGUAGCGGUGAAAUGCGUAGAUAUUGGGAGGAACACCAGUGGCGAAGGCGGCUCACUGGACCGGUACUGACGCUGAGGCGCGAAAGCGUGGGGAGCAAACAGGAUUAGAUACCCUGGUAGUCCACGCCGUAAACGAUGAGUGCUUGGUGUAGCGGGUAUCGACCCCUGCUGUGCCGACGUCAACACAUUAAGCACU
rnacentral:rRNA from 1 species